GUGCCAGCAGCCGCGCGGUAAUACGAAGGGACCUAGCGUAGUUCGGAAUUACUGGGCUUAAAGAGUUCGUAGGUGGUUAAAAAAGUUGGUGGUGAAAUCCCAGAGCUUAACUCUGGAACUGCCAUCAAAACUUUUUAGCUAGAGUAUGAUAGAGGAAAGCAGAAUUUCUAGUGUAGAGGUGAAAUUCGUAGAUAUUAGAAAGAAUACCAAUUGCGAAGGCAGCUUUCUGGAUCAUUACUGACACUGAGGAACGAAAGCAUGGGUAGCGAAGAGGAUUAGAUACCCUCGUAGUCCAUGCCGUAAACGAUGUGUGUUAGACGUUGGAAAUUUAUUUUCAGUGUCGCAGCGAAAGCGAUAACACACCGCCUGGGGAGUACGACCGCAAGGUUAAAACUCAAAUGAAUUGACGGGGGCCCGCACAAGUAGUGGAGCAUGUGGUUUAAUUCGAAGAUACGCGCAGAACCUUACCAACACUUGACAUGUUCGUCGCGACUCUAAGAGAUUAGAGUUUUCGGUUCGGCCGGACGAAACACAGGUGCUGCAUGGCUGUCGUCAGCUCGUGUCGUGAGAUGUUGGGUUAAGUCCCGCAACGAGCGCAACCCUCACUUUUAGUUGCCAUCAUUUAGUUGGGCACUCUGAAAGAACUGCCAGUGAUAAGCUGGAGGAAGGUGGGGAUGACGUCAAGUCCUCAUGGCCCUUACGUGUUGGGCUACACACGUGCUACAAUGGCAUCUACAAUAGGAAGCAAGAUGGCGACAUCAAGCAAAUCCUAAAAAGAUGCCUCAGUUCGGAUUGCACUCUGCAACUCGAGUGCAUGAAGCUGGAAUUACUAGUAAUCGCGGAUCAGCGCGCCGCGGUGAAUACGUUCCCGGGUCUUGCACACACCGCCCGUCA
rnacentral:rRNA from 1 species